rnacentral:rRNA from 1 species
UACGUAGGGUGCGAGCGUUAAUCGGAAUUACUGGGCGUAAAGCGUGCGCAGGCGGUUUUGUAAGACAGGUGUGAAAUCCCCGGGCUUAACCUGGGAACUUCAUUUGUGACUGCAAGGCUAGAGGAUGGCAGAGGGGGGUAGAAUUCCACGUGUAGCAGGGAAAUGCGUAGAUAUGUGGAGGAAUACCGAUGGCGAAGGCAGCCCCCUGGGUCAAUACUGACGCUAAGGCACGAAAGCGUGGGGAGCAAACAGG